UUGGAAACAAACCUCAAAUUGCUUACAGCUGUUUAUUACAUCAAAGGAUCCAUAGUAUACCCACUCUCUCUAUAAUUUGUCUCAGAAAACCCUCCCUUCUCUUCUCAAUGAUGAUCUCCCUCCACUGACCACGAUAUUCGACCACCUCAUCCCUCCUCUCACCAAUCUCCUCCCUCCUCUCUCCUCUCACCGAUCUCCUCCGUCAUUUCUCCUAUGGCGACUGUCGAUGACGUCUCCUCUGUGGUGCCGAUUUGUUUUAUUUUUUUUGUGGGUAUUCAUACUGUUCACCAGUGAAUCAAACAGAAAUUGAGCUCAAGGAUGGAAGAAUACGACACAAGCUUCUAUUAAGAUUGUGGUAUGGUUGGAGCACAAAAGGAGGGUUAUGAUGUUACGAUGGGUGUAUAAUUUGAAUGGUAUGAAUUCUACUUGAGUGGCAGUAGAAUAAACCUCUUCAAUGGGAAUUCAUGAUGUGUUGUGAUACUAAAAGGAAUGAUCCUGUGAGUUAUGGGCCUGCUUAAAUUCAUUUCGAAAACAAUUCUUCAAAUGGUACCAACCUAAAGAAGGUGAAUAUUAUUUCCGAAUUGAAAUUAACAAAUCCGCGCAUUAUUAUGUUAGGUAAUCAUAGCUAUAUCCGUGUUGUUUAUCAACUCCUCAGGAAAUUAUUGAGUAUGAACUUGUUGAUCCUGUUGAUAUAUUAACUCCUUUAGAGAAGACAAGAUUUUAGGAUGGAGUGGUAAGUCCUCUCAAUCUUUUUUUCAUGUUAUUCACUGACUUUUAACUUUGUGCUUCUAGUUUGUAAUUGUGCUCUCUGAUUAAUGUGAGGAAAAUCCAAUUUAUUAGCUUUCCUCUUUAACUAUGUGAAGCUUAAACCAGGUGAAGCAUUGUAUCUAGGGGCAAAUGAAGUCCAUGUAGGCUAACAUGGUGCGUUUGAUUGGGUAUUGCGUAGAGGGCUCUCUUUUUUUAGUCUAUGAAUUUAUCGAGAAUGGCAAUUUAAGUGAACAUUUACGUGGAGGGAGGGACCCCCUGCCAUGGUCUACAAGGGUGCAAAUUGCUUGAUUCAGCGAGAGGACUUGAAUAUAUAUAUGAGCAUACUGUUCUUGUCUAUAUCCAUCGUGAUAUCAAAUCAGCAAAUAUACUGAUAGACAAAAACUAUCGCGGCAAGGUUGCAAAUUUUGGCUUAACAAAGCUGACUGAAGUAGGGAGUACUUCGCUGCCCACACGUCUUGUGGGUACAUUUGGAUACAUGCCAUCGGAGUUAAUCUUGAAUACCUUGGACGGGUUGUUUUCUACACAAAUGGCAUUCUGUACCCUGAUAGCGUGGUUGGAACUGAUUCCCAUACAACUAUGAUUGUUGGCUUAGGAGUUGCUGGCUGGGGAGUUGGAGGAAUUGAAUCUGAGGCUACAAUGCAUGGCCAGGGAGGAAAUGACUUUGAGAUAUAUGACUCAGAGAGAACAGCGGGUCACACAGGCCAGAAAUUUUUUGGAGAGAUGCAAAAUAUGGUCCAAGAAUUAAAGAACUUAGUUUUUUA